rnacentral:rRNA from 1 species
UACGAAGGGGGCUAGCGUUGCUCGGAAUGACUGGGCGUAAAGGGCGCGUAGGCGGAUGGCACAGUCAGAUGUGAAAUUCCCGGGCUUAACCUGGGGGCUGCAUUUGAUACGUGUUGUCUCGAGUGAGGAAGAGGGUCGUGGAAUUCCCAGUGUAGAGGUGAAAUUCGUAGAUAUUCGCAAGAACACCAGUGGCGAAGGCGGCUCACUGGCCCGAUACUGACGCUGAGGCACGAAAGCGUGGGGAGCAAACAGG